AUUGCCAACAUUUUACCACGUCCAAAAAAGGCAAAUAAAAAUUUCCUGUCAAAAUGUCAAAGCCCUACGAAUAUUUUAACAGAAUUACAACAAAAAAAAAAAAAAAACAAAAUUGUAUAUGUAAACAUUUUUUAGACGUUUUAAAAUUUAAAAUUAUUUUGUUGAUUUUCGCGCUAUUAGUAGACAUUUUGAGAGUUUAGUAUGUAAUAUUUGUUAAUUGUAUAGUAUCUCGUAGUGUAGUAGUGGGUCGUAGGUGUUGUCAUUCCAGAGAUCGCGUAAGUUCCCUGAAAUUCCCGAGUUCCGACAUAUUUUUUGCAGAACCACAUUAGGUAAGUAACAGGGAAAAAACAAGUGCAUUUUGGGUGCACCUAGAAACGCAAUGUGUCGUAACAUAACGUAUAAUAUACCUAUAUUAUUUUAAAAGCAAUACUAUGAACCGAGCUCCGCUCAAAAUUGUUUUUUGUUAGCUCUGUUGAGUUAGUCUGGUGAGUUGUAGGGGAUCGUUAUCAAUAGGAUUCACUUAAAAACUUGUCUAAAAAGUAAACUAAUACUACUGUAAAACUAUGAUUAUUACGAUAUAAUAAUUUCAAAAUAAAAAAACAGGAUAAAUAUUUUAUUUAGUAACUAUAAUUAAUAAUUAUAUUUAUAUUAUUCACUAGAUGACAUUGGUGUAUUGUGUAUGGAGUAGAUGUGUGAUAGUUUUAUGAGUUUUAUUAACUAACAUUUUUCAAUCGAGUAAGACAUUUUGGAAGGCUGUAGAAUACUGUGCC